ensembl:lncRNA
AUGGGAAUCCUUUGUUGGCCAGGCUUUGAAGCAGCGAGGCUAUUCACUGCAAUUCCAAUUGGCCACAGCAACACGUGGCAGGGCACAGCUAGUUAUAUUAUAUAUACGUAUAGUACAUAUGUAUAUAUGUAUGUGUGUACAUAUACACACACACACACACACACACACACAUAUAUAUAUAUAUAUAUAUAUAUACACACACCCACACACAUAUACACAUACACACACACACACAUAUAUAUAAUUAGCAUAGCAUAAUUACAUUACAUUCACAUACAAUACAUUAUAUUAUUAGCAUAUUAUAUUAUAUUAUUAGCAUAGUACAAUACUAGCAUUAAAUUACUUUUUUUACUUAAUCAUUACAUUGUAAUAUUAUUAGUAAUAUUACAUUUAAUAUUAAAUUGUAUUAUUAUCAGUAUUAUAUCGUAAUACAUUAUAAUAUUAUCAAUAUUAUAUGUGUAUACAAUAUAUUAUAUUAUCUAUAUAUAUAAAAGAGUGAUGGCAUCACAGCGACCCACAAAACAACAAAACUACAGGCCCCCCAACCUCGAAAUUUGACAACACAAUCCAUCAUCCAUGCCUUGAGGUUGAAACCACAAAAUAUCACAUCACGAACCUCCACAGGGCCUAAAAAACCCAAAAACCGGAGCUGUUCAGUGCAAUUUCAAUGGGCUUCGGCAACGCACGGCAGGGCACAGCUAGUAUAUAAUAUAAUUCUUCCACCAGUAAGUCCUGUUCUAGCAAGCACUAUAUGUCCCAUUAGGUUUGUUGUGUGUUUUCCGUGCUGUAUGGCCAUGUUCCAGAUGUGGGCGAAACAUCAGGAGAGAAUGCUUCUGGAAUAUAUCCAUACAGCCUGGAAAACACACAACAACCCUGUGAUCCCGUUCGACAACACAUUGUAAUUGCUUAGUUUAUCCAAAGGAAGUGACACCUUUUAACAACACAAUUUACAGUAUGAAAAAAGUGUCUCAAAUUGGUAUGGGGAAAAAAAAAUCAACAAAGCUGAUUUUCUUCGUAGCACCCCUAUGAUGCUCGGCAAUUAUUCCAGGGUUGCCAAUGAAGGGAUACCAGUAUUGAAAGGGAUGUAAAUGGUGGAAAGAAACAUCAGGGCAUCUUUGUCUCCUAGGCCAUUUGUAGCACCAAUAAUUACCAUCGCAUCCAUGCUGCUGCAGGGCUCUCUGUCCGGCUGCAAAACAAUUAGAGAAAAUAGCUCUUGAAAUUGCAAGUGCUUUGCUUCUGAGAUAUCUGUAUCUUCUAACGAAAGAGAGAGAGAAUGGGGGGAGGUUCUUGGACUAAUUCAGUUAAUAUGUAAUUAUAACCCAAUCAGCCCUGAUGUUCCCAAUAUGACGUCUAUAGAAUCUCUCGCUUUCACACUGUUAUUAUGACACAUAAUUUAUUUUUUGUGAUGGCACCUCAAGCAUAUGGCAACUGGCAACUUUCCAGGCAUAUUAAUAAGGAGGCUCCGUAGCCAUCUGCGGAAGAAUAGCCAGAUAUUGAAAAUGAAAGGAUUAAUCAAUUGAUCGACAGGAUUAACCAAUUAAGGCUGAAUCCAUUUUAGAGGAGAAGAACAAAGACUCUCGGCUCAUCACAUAGCAUAUUAGGAUUCGGAUUAAUGAUAUGCUAUUACCAUCCUAUACAACGAUGGCAUUGGUGAAACUAUACUUUCUCCUGGAAAACAGGAGAAAGUCCAAAGAAUAACUACUGUUAUUAAUAUGAAUAUUAAUAUUAACACCCAUUGGUACACAUCAGCUGUCAUGGGGAAGUAGACUUCUCUCAGACUCAGCUUAGGGUCCCGGAAUAACUAUUGUUAUUAAUAUUAAUAUUAAUAUUAACAUCCAUUGGUACACAUCAGCUGACAUGGGGAAACAGACCUCUCUCAGACUCAGCUUAGGGUCCCAAUAUAAUAAUAU